GAGAUCUGUUUGUAACCUGGUUCACCAUUCAAUAUGAACUUGAGGUUCCAUGCCAGUGCUACAAGGAAACUGCCGACAUGGCAGUGGUGCCCUUUGUGUGGUCUCCCUGGUCACUUUCUGGGAACAGGG
rnacentral:snoRNA from 1 species